rnacentral:rRNA from 1 species
UCCAGACUCCUACGGGAGGCAGCAGUGGGGAAUAUUGCACAAUGGGGGGAACCCUGAUGCAGCGACGCCGCGUGAGUGAAGAAGUAUUUCGGUAUGUAAAGCUCUAUCAGCAGGGAAGAAAAUGACGGUACCUGACUAAGAAGCCCCGGCUAACUACGUGCCAGCAGCCGCGGUAAUACGUAGGGGGCGAGCGUUAUCCGGAUUCACUGGGUGUAAAGGGAGCGUAGACGGCCAAGCAAGCCAGGGGUGAAAGCCCGGGGCCCAACCCCGGGACUGCCCUUGGAACUGCAUGGCUGGAGUGCGGGAGGGGCAGGCGGAAUUCCUGGUGUAGCGGUGAAAUGCGUAGAUAUCAGGAGGAACACCAGUGGCGAAGGCGACUUUCUGGACUGUACCUGACGCUGAGGCGCGAAAGCGUGGGUAGCGAACGGGAUUAGAUACCCCAGUACU